rnacentral:lncRNA from 1 species
CCGGAAAAACCAGUCCGGCGAGCCUUUGGAGAAGAUGACACGUGCGGCGCGUGUCCUGCGCGUGGCCGCGCGUAGGGCCGAGCCCUAGCCGGCGCGUGAGGGCGCGUGGGGAGUCCAAAUUGAGUUCUAAAAAUUUCUCGACGCUCGUGACGUCGAGUAGGUCAAUAUGGUAUAUUCAUAUACCCAAAUUGAGCAUCGUAUGAGAAAUUAUUUCGAAUUAUUGGUGAUAUGUUUAAAAUUAACGUUUUUAUAGUUAUUUCGCAUAUAGGUGAGACGUAUCACGAGGACGACCGCAUCCAGGGACGCCACGGGGGUUACGACCCGUCGACUUAUCAGUAAGUGGGCAGUUUUGUUUUCGUAUUACCUUUAUACUAUUGAUUUUUCCCAGAAAAUGAAUUUAAGUGAAAAUAUGUUUUUAAAUGCCAUGCAUAGAAUUAUUUGAAAAUGUGAAUUGUUAUAUGAAUUACAUGAUUGAUAUAUGAUGCAUACAUAUUGCAUGGUGCUGUGGAGGCACAGGUAAGUCAGGUGAGUUCAUUUAUUCAUUGAAUUAUUUGAUGUUGAGAUAAAUUGAGCUCAUAAUCUGCACCCUAGGUGUUAGUGCUUAUGUUAUUCACCACACCGCAUGCUCGCCUUGGAUCCAAGUAGGUGGAUGUCGUACAGACCAUGUGAGGGUUCCGACAUGCCAGUCGUACAGACCAUUAGAGGGGUUCCGACUGGUGAGUGACCUUAGAUAUGCGCGCUGAUGAUAUGAUGAGAGAAGCACUAGAGCGUAUUUUUACACCUUUCAUCGUAUAGACUACCUUACGUAGUUCCGAGUGAUGUGCAGAGUAGGGCCGUACAGGUCACUGUGGUGACUCCGGCUUAGUGGGAUUUGAGCUAUUGAAUUAAUCGUAUAGGACCAACUGCAGGGUCUCCGAUUGAUUCCUUAUUUCACCUGAUUUAUAUUUUGAUUUAUGGCAUGACAUGGCAUGUUUUCUUGAAAAUGUUAAAGAUUUGGGAUUUAAGUUUUGAGAUUUUAUAUGGUUAUAUAUAUUUCUGGGAAAGUAUACAGGUUUUUACGGCGAGGGGAUAUAAUUGUUUUAAUGAACUGUUUUGGAAAACUAAAUUGUUUUACUGACCCACUCAAUUUUGUUUUGCGUCCCUCCAGGUUCUAGUUUAGCGGUGGUUGGCUCACGAGGUUUUUUCCGGCUUUCUGACAGACUUUCGACAUGUAGGACUCACCUGAGGGUGAUGUAUCUUAUUUUAGUCCUACUUGACUGCAGUUAACCUAUGCUCUGAACUUAUGUGUUUACCCUAUGACUCGUCUGGUUAUGUUUAAGUUGGUUUGAAUUUCUGCUGUUUAAUAUUGUUUCCGCUUCCGUGUCGUGCUUAUGGUUACGUCACGCCUACGUGACGGCCAGCACACCUGGAUCCUCCGGAUCGGGGUGUGUCAAUUUUAAAUGUCCAUGUUUUUAGCACAUUUCCAUCAUUUACAGCGAAAACAAUUAAUAUGUCCAUCAAUAUUUUCAUAAAUUUACAUAUCGGGUUAUG